AGCCUUGCACAGUAGCAAUAUCAUAGCCAAUGAGGCUUGUCCGAGUCAUGAUUAUUGCUAAUUGAAGUACAGGAAAGUGAAUGUCAUUUGGGAUAAACCUAUGACAAUUAAUAAAUGAGUGUGUGUGUG
rnacentral:snRNA from 1 species